AAUUCUAAACUUGUAGACACGGGAAAAAGAAGAAAAAAAACGUGUCAACUCAGUUGUCAAAACCAAAACAAAAAAAAUGCUCUCAGUUAUCAUAAAAAAAAAAAGAAACUUGUAGACGCGGGAACCUUGGACACAGCAAUUGCGCGAUUUCGGGAGCAAUUGGGUUGCGCAACUGAACGCUCAGCUGAGGACCCGGCUUUAAACUUCCCUUACCCUGCGCACGUCAUAUAGCAACGGGAGGAGUUCCAUAGCAACCACUGAAACAGGUUUCCUGUUUACCAAAACGCCGAUUUAAAACUUAAAAUUAGACUGCUUUCCAGCAACUUUUGAGUAAAACAGAAUAUUGGAGUUUGUUUUGGGAUAUGGAAAAUAGUUCUUUUUUUAUUAAACCCCCCCAAAGGGUUCCUUUUUGCGUCCAGAUAGCAGAGCUUGUGUUAUAGAAACCCAUUUCAGAUAGAGCAUGCUUCAGGAUUAAAAUAAAGGACACUGUUUCAUUCGUUAUAGGAUCAGGAAGGAGACAUUAAACAAUGCAUGUUCACAUAUAGUACUUCCAUACUGCUGUGAGGAGCACUAUUGGAUACAAAGGUGUGGCCUCGGAAGGGUGUUGGUGCCACCACCAUUAAAAACCAAACGCCUCUCCACCCAGUCACCUAUUGAUAGCCUGCAUCGUGCUGGGAGCUCUGCUCUUUGUGGUGUUGAUCCUGUUAGCCGGGCAGCUGCAGCACAACAGGAUGCUGAGGAGAGGGAUUGCUAAGGAGGAGCCUGACCCCUUCCAUGAAGCCAUUUACGAGGAGAUUGAGUACAAACAGGCCAGACAGGGAUCCUAUGAUGCGCCCAGGAGAGGGAGUUUCCUUUCUGAUGAGCUGCCCUCUGACUACAGUGAUUUGGAGGACAGUGAGGGGAACCCCAUCCCAGGU